rnacentral:rRNA from 1 species
GACGAACGCUGGCGGCGUGCCUAACACAUGCAAGUCGAGCGGGGACGAUUGCUUCGGUGAUUGUUCUAGCGGCGGACGGGUGAGUAACGCGUGAGCAAUCUGUCCUCUACAGGGGGAUAACACUUGGAAACAGGUGCUAAUACCGCAUAAGACCACAGGACCGCAUGAUUCAGGGGUCAAAGGAGUAAUCCGGUAGAGGGUGAGCUCGCGUCCCAUUAGAUAGUUGGCGGGGUAACGGCCCACCAAGGCGACGAUCAGUAGCUGGUCUGAGAGGACGAUCAGCCACACUGGGACUGAGACACGGGCCCAG